GUAUAUAUGACUAUAUAAUAAUACUCAUUAUAACUGACGUAUAAACUUACUUAAUUAUAAAUCAUAUUAUGCGAUGUUAAAUUUGAUAAAGUUUGUAAUUAUUAGAAGGGAGGUCAUCGUGGCUCUAUAACCUAUAUCGUGUACUGGUUUAUAUUAUAAUUGUUCACACUUAACCAUCCUGUACCUAUGAUGGGCUAUUAAAACGCUAUACCCACAUAAUAUUCAUUAUUCACUGUUCAAAUAUAAAACUGAACUCAAAAGAAUCCAACGACUUCAUUAUGUAUUUUUGUCUGUAACAGGUGGUAGAAGAUGUUUUAUUGGUAGGCGCCUAUGCCCUGUGUAAUAUAGUGCAAUAACGCAAUAUUAUUAGUUAUUACAACAUUCAAUACACCUAAUUGUCUGUACACAAUAUCAUCGUUAGGUAUUGUGUGUGCUGUUUUAUUAAUAAUAUUAUUGCGUUCAGUCAUAGCACGGAAUACGCAAACCGGAAAUAGGAUUAAUAGUUUGCAUUAUUUGCGCAGCUGAUUGACGUAACAAAAGUAAACAUGUAGGUAUAACCGAAUAGGUAGCUAGGUAAUGGGCAUUAUAACAGGUACCUCAUUUGUUUUCGUCGUCACGCGGUUGACACGAAAUAAUAGAUAUUCGUUGAUGUCCCUAACGUCGGCGAAAUAUUUUCCACUCCAAAGUCUUGUGACGGCGGUCAGUAAAAAAAUUACGUUUCGAACAGAGCAUAAUAUACAAACACGUGCGACUAAGAAUCGAAAACGAAAAUUUUUUGAAUUCGAAACUUGUGUGCUCCUACACAAAUGGAUCCCAGUAUGAUAUAAAAUUGUUUAUAAUUACCGGAAUAGGCGAAAUGUUUGUCGCCAUGAUAAUAUUUUCGUCGGCGACGGUGAUCGAUGACAGCUGCAACGCAUAGCUAUGACGUCGUUUGUUUAUAUUACUAUUAUUAUUAUAAUUAUCACCAUUAACACCUAAUUAUUCUAUCCCUAUUAUAUUUCCUUGUGUGUAAAUCUUUUUUUCUUAAUGUUCGUCGUGCGAAAAGCGCAAUGUUCUCGUUUCGACUAACUUUUUUCGUUCACUGCUACUACUACAAUGUUUUUUUGUACUACCAUCUGUUCGUACCGGCUGUCCGGUCGUCCGACGGCCCGAGGAAGAGGACCAAUGAAAAAAUGGUCGGCACUGCGACACGGCACUUAGACGAGUUUAAAAUCAAUUGUUUGCACCAGUUCACUAAGAAAGAGCUGAACGAGCACGCGGUGGCUCAGUGGAAUUAUCAAGUGAACAAAACCGAAGCGACGGAGCACGAGGCCAUGAGAUCUUCCAUUCGAUUGUUUAUUUAUCAAAAGCUACUUGUAACGUCUGCUGAAAAUAUGUCUGUAGCUUUCGGCAUGAGCUACGAAGACCUGUUGCCCUUGGUGUAUUUUGUGCACGACCGCGGCAUUUGUCAGCUGAACACGGACGAGUAUAAGACAACCUUAAUGCUGAAGAGGAAACUAAAAACAACGAUUAACGAACUAACAGUCUGCGAAUACCGGAAGACCAAUCAUCCGUGUGACGUGACAGCGGACGAGAUAAACGUAAUUAUGGCUAGCUCAUCAGACGCAAUAGAGUUAAAAUACUAUUGGAAAGCUUGGCACAAUCACACCAGCUACGAUGUGAAAAAUAUCUAUAUGAAUUAUAUUGAAAUGUUGAACUAUAUGGCCCGGCUGAAUAGGUUUUCUAACGAAGUCGAUUACUAUAUGGAACCAUACAACUCUCACAAUCAAGGCCAAUUGAACGCCGAUCAGAUGUACGAAGGUAUAAGACCGCUGUACUUGCAUCUUUACACGCACGUUCGUAAAAUUCUCAGGGAAAAAUUUGGAACGGCUACUGUGUCCGCCAAUGGACCCAUUCCCGUCCAUUUAUUGGGUUCAGUAUUGGGUCAACCAUGGACAAAGUUGAUACCAUUCAUGGUUCAGGAAUUCGUCGUACACGAGAGUGGCAAAACACACUCUAUGACUCCUGCAAAGCGGCUGUUUGACCAAGCUAAUAGAUUUUUUGUAUCGAUUGGUAUGGGAUGUGUGCCGAAAAGUGUUUGGUCCCAUUCGGUAUGGAAAGAUAAUAAACAUUUUUCCAAUCGCCAACCAUCGUCUUGGGAUUUGUACGCAAAUAACGAUUUCAGCAUUUUUCAGGAUAAAAAUGGAUGUCAAGGACACAGUCGAAGACGUGUAUACGAUGCACAAGCAACUGGGUUUAGUUCACUAUUUCGCGGCCUACAAAAAUCAGCCAAUCGCGUAUCAGCAUACAUCCAAUCCAGCGUUUGUUUACGGCGUGAUAAACGCACUGACGCUGUCCGUGCGUUAUCAAGACUUCAUCGGCAGGUACAACGACAGCGCGAGCAGUCGGAGCGCCUACCUGUUGCGGUUGGCCAUGGAAAAGGUCGCCGUCCUGCCGUUCGCCUACGCCGCCGACGUCUGGCACUCGGAAGCGUGCACGAGCUCUUUCGCGCCGAAACGCAUGAACGAUCACUGGUGGAGCAAAAGAGACUUCCUGGGACCAAUAAUAGAAUUCCAAGUAUUCAAAGCGUUGUGCACAAUUUGCGGCGAGUACAAAUCUAAACACGCAAAAACAAAACACUUGUACGAGUGCAACCUUCGUGGCUAUAAAAAAGUCGGAAAAAUUAUCAAAUCAGUCAUGGCAAGUGGCUCUUCGGUGGAAUGGAAAUUUCUUUUCGAGACAAUAGUUGGACACAGACGAGUAGAAAUAGAACCGUUGUUGGAAUAUUUUCAACCCCUUCACAAUCAUCUUUUAAAAACCAAUCAGGAG
rnacentral:misc_RNA from 1 species